rnacentral:rRNA from 1 species
AAUCCUACGGGAGGCAGCAGUGAGGAAUAUUGGUCAAUGGGCGGAAGCCUGAACCAGCCAAGUCGCGUGAGGGAAUAAGGCCCUACGGGUCGUAAACCUCUUUUGCCGGGGAGCAAGGGCGGGGACGUGUCCCGGCCCGGAGAGUACCCGGAGAAAAAGCAUCGGCUAACUCCGUGCCAGCAGCCGCGGUAAUACGGAGGAUGCGAGCGUUAUCCGGAUUUAUUGGGUUUAAAGGGAGCGUAGGCGGGCUUUUAAGUCAGGGGUAAAAAUUCGGGGCUCAACCCCGGCCGGCCGGGGAAACUGGG